rnacentral:rRNA from 1 species
ACUAGAAUGAAUGGUUUCAUGAGGGCCUAACUGUCUCUUACAUUCAACCAAUAAACCUGAUCCUUCAGUCCAAAAGCUGAAAUAAACCCAUAAGACGAGAAGACCCUGUGGAGCUUCUAAACCAAACCCAAAAAUCUCAUGCCACUUUGGUUUUCAGUUGGGGCGACUCUGGAGUAUAAAAAACCCUCCAUCACGGAACCUAGUUCUAGAUGCACAUAUCAAAAACCGUACCUAGACCCAGUGCCAAAUAAAACUAUCUGACCCAUGAACCAAGUUACCCCAGGGAUAACAGCGCCAUCCUCUUUUAGAGUCCCUAUCGACAAGAGGGUUUACGACCUCGAUGUUGGAUCCGGACAUCCCUAUAGUGCAGCCGCUAUAAAAG